UCUUGAAAGUCACAGGCUAGAGAGUCCAAAGACUCCCUCUAGCCACCUUCCAAAGCACACUUCCUCACUCUCAUUUCCAUUAACACAGUGCUUCUCUCUCAUCAGACAUCACACAACAUCAACCACACGUUCGCUGACCAGUGGCACCAUUCUUCAUCAGCCACUCCUCCACUGACACGUCGUUGCUCACGCGUCAACCUCGUGAAUUCAUUCUUGCCUCCUUCCACAUCUUCAUUCAUUCACGCAUUCCAUUUCCACAUAUCAAAAACCUCUCUGUUAGGGUUUCUUCAUCUCAAGCGCCUCUACUCCAUUUCUCGGUCACAAACUCACUUCCUCAUCAUCAUAAGUCUGGUUUUCAUCUCCGAUUCACUUCAUCAUUUUUGUUUCUUCCUCGUUUCAACCUCGUCUCACCAUUUCCCAUAGAUUUCACUGAUUGUUUUCGAUUUCCACCGUUUAAAACCACCUUUGCACCAAUCCAAACCAUUUCCACCGUUUAUUAUCUGUUUUGAACCGAUUAAUUAGUUCAAUUUGUGUCUCUCCCCAUUUCUAGGGUUCAACCGGUCUAAAUUAGGGUUGUUC
rnacentral:lncRNA from 1 species